rnacentral:rRNA from 1 species
UACGGAGGGUGCAAGCGUUAGUCGGAAUUACUGGGCGUAAAGGGUGCGUAGGUGGAGAUGUAAGUCAGACGUGAAACUCCGAGGCUCAACCUCGGAACUGCAUCUGAUACUGCAUCUCUUGAGGGAUGGUGGAGAAAAUGGAAUUCCACGUGUAGCGGUGAAAUGCGUAGAUAUGUGGAAGAACACCUGUGGCGAAAGCGAUUUUCUAACCUACCCCUGACACUGAGGCACGAAAGCAAGGGGAGCAAACAGG